rnacentral:rRNA from 1 species
AUUGAACGCUGGCGGAAUGCUUUACACAUGCAAGUCGAACGGCAGCACGGACUUCGGUCUGGUGGCGAGUGGCGAACGGGUGAGUAAUGUAUCGGAACGUGCCCAGUCGUGGGGGAUAACGUAGUGAAAAUUACGCUAAUACCGCAUACGAUCUAUGGAUGAAAGCGGGGGAUCGCAAGACCUUGCGCGAUUGGAGCGGCCGAUAUCAGAUUAGGUAGUUGGUGGGGUAAAGGCCCACCAAGCCAACGAUCUGUAGCUGGUCUGAGAGGACGACCAGCCACACUGGAACUGAGACACGGUCCAGACUCCUACGGGAGGAAGCAGUGGGGAAUUUUGGACAAUGGGCGAAAGCCUGAUCCAGCCAUUCCGCGUGCAGGAGGAAGGCCCUCGGGUUGUAAACUGCUUUUGUACAGAACGAAAAGGUUUCUACUAAUACUAGGAGCUCAUGACGGUACUGUAAGAAUAAGAACCGGCUAACUACGUGCCAGCCGCCGCCGUAA